ACUCCUACGGGAGGCAGCAGUGGGGAAUAUUGCACAAUGGGCGCAAGCCUGAUGCAGCAACGCCGCGUGAGUGAUGAAGGCCUUCGGGUCGUAAAGCUCUGUCCUCAAGGAAGAAUAAAUGACGGUACUUGAGGAGGAAGCCCGGCUAACUACGUGCCAGCAGCCGCGGUAAUACGUAGGGGGCAAGCGUUAUCCGGAAUCACUGGGGCGUAAAGGGGUGCGUAGGCGGUUUUUCAAGUCAGAAGUGAAAGGCUAUGGCUCAACCAUAGUAAGCUUUUGAAACUGUUAAACUUGAGUGCAGGAGAGGAAAGUGGAAUUCCUAGUGUAGAGGUGAAAUUCGUAGAUAUUAGGAGGAACACCAGUGGCGAAGGCGACUUUCUGGACUGUAACUGACGCUGAGGCACGAAAGCGUGGGGAGCGAACAGGAUUAGAUACCCUGGUAGACAUCAC
rnacentral:rRNA from 1 species